rnacentral:rRNA from 1 species
GUAAGGAAUAUUGGACAAUGGGCGCAAGCCUGAUCCAGCCAUGCCGCGUGAAGGACGAAGGCGCUCAGCGUUGUAAACUUCUUUUGGACGGGAACAAUACCCCCGACUUGUUGGGGUUUGAGGGUACCGUCAGAAUAAGCACCGGCUAACUCCGUGCCAGCAGCCGCGGUAAUACGGAGGGUGCAAGCGUUAUCCGGAAUCACUGGGUUUAAAGGGUGCGUAGGCGGUGUAAUAAGUCAGUCGUGAAAUCGCUGGGCUUAACUCAUGCAAUUGCGAUUGAUACUGUUAUACUUGAAUGGGGUUAAGGCAGGCGGAAUGUGGCAUGUAGCGGUGAAAUGCAUAGAUAUGCCAUAGAACACCGAUUGCGAAGGCAGCCUGCUGGGCCUUGAUUGACGCUGAGGCACGAAAGCGUGGGGAGCAAACAGGAUUAGAAACCCGUGUAGUCC